UACUGGUGAUUAGUGAAAUGACUUGUCAUUCUUUGACCAGUACUUAUAUUCUUCAAGUAACUUGGAAGUUACUGUUCUGUAUGACACAGUUUUUUUCAAAAUUUUUUAAUUACUCGGAAUUUUUUUGUUCCUUCCUUUUCUCUCCUUUCUCUUCUCCAAAUACCUCUGGUAUAGUCCCUUCCCUCCUUACACAAUUUUAUGUUCUUUCUCUCUCUCUCUCCAAAAAAAAAAAAAAAACCAAAAUAAAACUUGGAAGUUUUUAAAAUAAAAAUCACUUUUUCUAACCAACUUUCGAAGUAAAAAACAUGCGUCUAGAUUAACACUCACAAGCCCUUGCCUAGACUGCACAGAAGUCAUCACAUAGGGAAGAUAUGAAGGAUCCUUUAGAGAAAACUUUAACAAAGUUUUACAAGUCAUUGACUCCAAUUUAACCCAACUGACCCUGAUAACAAAUCUAUUUACACAAACACAUGAGUCUAUGGGGGCCAUUUCUAUUCAAACUCCACAUAAUGUAAGGGAUAUUUUCAUAAUAUAUCACCCAUGUGUGAUAUAUGUCACAUUUUAUUAUUUGCUCCAGCAGAAUUCAAUAAAGAAGGCAUCUUUCCUCUAAUGUACAUUUUAAAACUUUAUAAAAAAAUUAACAGGAUGGAGAAAGGACUCAUAAAUGGUUAGGAAUACUUAUUGUUCUUGCAGAGGACAAAGGUUCUAUUCCCAACACCCAAAUUACCUGGCUCACAACCAUUUGUAACUCCAGCUCAAAGGGAUUUGGUCCUCUCCCUCUUAUGACAUAGAUGGACACCAGGCAUGCACAUGGUACUCAUACAUACAUGAAGGCAAAACACUUUAACACAUAGAAAUGAAUCUAAAAUUUCUCAAUUAAGUGGCUACACUAUAUGGAUUUAUCUCUAUUCCAUUGGUCUACAAGUCUUUUGUGCUGGUGCCAUGGUGGUUUUAUUGCUAUAACUAUAUAAGAUUAUGUAUUAUGAUACCACAAAUAUUGCCUUUCCACUAAGGAUUUUCAAAACCUUUGUGUUCUGAAUUUUAGGAUUUCUUUUCUAGGUCUAUGGAAAAUGUCAAAUGAAUUUUGAUGGGGGUUACAUAGAAUAUGUACAUUAUUUUGGGUGAUACAGCUAUUUUUACAAUUAAGUCAUGACAUUUUUUUUCGUCACUUGACACAAGCUAGACUCUUUGCAAAGAGGGAACAUCAUUUGGGAAAGUGCCUCUAACAGAUUGGCGUGUAAGCAAGCCUGUGGGACAUUCUUUUGGUUAAUGUUGAUGUUGAAGGGCACGGCCCACUGUCGGCUGUGCCAAUCCUGGAUGAGUAGUCCUGGUGUGCAUAAGAAAGCAGGAUGAAGCCCUGGUAGCUCGUGUCUCUAGCAGCAUUCCUCCAUGGUCUCUGCUUUAGUUUCUGCCUCCAGCUUUCUGUUUUGAGUUGCUGCUCUGACUUCCCCUGAUGGAUUGAGACCUGUGAUGUGAAAUAAAUCCUUUCUCCUCC
rnacentral:lncRNA from 1 species